CUCUGGCUUCUCUGCGCUUUUCUCACGUUCUCAUUGAAUGUGCACUGAACACCUACUGUGUGCCAGACACCAUCCUCAGCCCUGGGGGUUCGGCAGUGACCAAAUCCCUAUUGUCUCGAAACGGAGAGAACAAGGGAAUAUUUGUUGACUUAAGCUGUGCUGAGCGAUCAAUGCUGGGAGGAAAAAGCAAGCAGGAGAGGGGGUGGUGACGGCGGUGAGGGCAGAAAUGUAGGGACAGUGUGUUCCAGGCAGAGGGAAAGGCCAGAGGUAUUACCCGGCCUGGUCACCGUCAGGCACAGAGAAGAGGUCCAGAGCGGGGGGAGAGAGCGCGGCUGACGAGAGCCCUGAUCCCACCAUCACCGCAGCUGGCAUUUCUCUUUCUCCUCCAAGACGGCCUUCAAGCCCUGGACACCCAGAGGACUCGGGAAGAAGGGAAGGCCCCUAAAUGUUUCAGGCAGCAGAGAGACGGAAACCAAGACCCACAGUGGUAAAGCCGCUUGCCAAGGUCAUGCAGCUGUGAGAGAAAGUCAGGAUUUAAACCCACGCGGGAGACUCCGUGCCUGGAACCGUUAUGCGGCAUAUUAAUAAUAACUGCUGUUACUUGUGUGGGGCCCUGGGGGGUGAGGGUGGGCACAGAAGCCUGCUUUGGGGAACAUCAGGGGAGGCCCUCAGGAGACUUCUGGGAGUCUUGAAUGAUCAGAACCCUGGAGAGAGGGGUAAAAAAAAAAUCACUGUUCUGGGUAAAGGGAACAACAUGUGCAAAGGCCUCAAGUAAAAAAAAACAGCAAGAUGGAAAAAAAACAGCAGCAACAUGUUUCAACCUGGCUGCAGCCAGCUGAGAAUGGUUGGAGGGGUGGGCAGCAGCCCUGACUUCGCAAGGUCUCGUGGGCCUAGGUGAAGAAUUUAAAAUUUAUUCCGAGGGCCAAGGAGGCUAACGAUAACCUAUUUUUUAUAAUUUUAAAAAAUUGUGAAA